rnacentral:rRNA from 1 species
GACGAACGCUGGCGGCGUGCCUAAUACAUGCAAGUAGGACGCUGAAGGAGGAGCUUGCUUCUCUGGAUGAGUUGCGAACGGGUGAGUAACGCGUAGGUAACCUGCCUGGUAGCGGGGGAUAACUAUUGGAAACGAUAGCUAAUACCGCAUAAUAGUAGAUGUUGCAUGACAUUUGCUUAAAAGGUGCAAUUGCAUCACUACCAGAUGGACCUGCGUUGUAUUAGCUAGUUGGUGGGGUAACGGCUCACCAAGGCGACGAUACAUAGCCGACCUGAGAGGGUGAUCGGCCACACUGGGACUGAGACACGGCCCAGACUCCUACGGGAGGCAGCAGUAGGGAAUCUUCGGAAAUGGACGGAAGGCUGACCGAGCAACGCCGCGUGAGUGAAGAAGGUUUUCGGAUCGUAAAGCUCUGUUGUAAGAGAAGAACGAGUGUGAGAGUGGAAAGUUCACACUGUGACGGUAUCUUACCAGAAAGGGACGGCUAACUACGUG